CAAGUUUACAAUGGAAAGAGAUAGAGCAUGAUUUAUCCAAGCCUUUGAAGCAUCCAGGAAAGAUCCAUCCCGAACUUGAAAGCAUCAACAUGGUGAAAGAUAACACGAGUGCCAAGGAAAUCCAUCAUAAACUCAAAAGCAUUAAGGUGGCUAAGGAUAACUCAGGCAGAGGAUAGCUCAACCCUUUGAAGCAUCCCAAUGGUGGGAAGAUUUGCUCAACCCUGUGGAGCAUCAAGAUGAUGGGAGAUUUGCUCAACCUUUCGGAGAUGAAAGAUAAAGCAUGCACCAAACAUGAUGAUCACGAUAGAUUCACCCAAAACUGCGAAGCAUUAAGAUGACUAUCGAUGGAGUGUGUAGUGAGCUUGCCAACUAAGUAGCAAUUACUUGGAUGUCAUUGUAUCAUGAUCCAAAGUGGGUCUGUUGUCCAACCUAGGAUAGAGGUCAACUUUUGAGCACUGCCUUAGGACUUUAGCUCAUCGAUUUUGUUUUCCAGGGUAGAUUUGUUUCCCAACUUGAGGUGGAAGUCUAGCUCUGAAAACUCAUGUACUUUAAAAUUU
rnacentral:lncRNA from 1 species